CGGGGCGUGGCUCAGCCUGGUAGAGCGCCUGCUUUGGGAGCAGGAUGUCGCAAGUUCGAAUCUUGUCGCCCCGACCA
rnacentral:tRNA from 1 species